GCCCAUCAGCAGCAGACCCUCUCUCUCAGACCCUCCCACCUCCUGGACAGCAUCCAUUGUGAAGCUGCAUUCUUAGUGAGCUGUCCAGGAGGUGGAAGGGUCUGGGAGGGAGGGUCUGCUGACUGUGAGG